rnacentral:rRNA from 1 species
UACGGAGGGUGCAAGCGUUGUCCGGAUUUAUUGGGUUUAAAGGGUGCGUAGGCGGCCCAUUAAGUCAGCGGUGAAAGCCCGGGGCUCAACCCCGGAACCGCCGUUGAUACUGGGGGGCUUGAGUAUGGACGAGGUUGGCGGAAUUGAGGGUGUAGCGGUGAAAUGCUUAGAUACCCUCAAGAACACCGAUUGCGUAGGCAGCUAACUAGGCCAUAACUGACGCUGAGGCACGAAAGCGUGGGGAGCGAACAGG